rnacentral:rRNA from 1 species
AUACGGAGGAUGCAAGCGUUAUCCGGAUUUAUUGGGUUUAAAGGGUGCGUAGGCUGAGGAGUAAGUCAGGGGUGAAAUGCCGCAGCUCAACUGCGGAACUGCCUUUGAUACUGCUUUUCUGGAGUCCGGAUGCCGUGGGAGGAAUGGGCAGUGUAGCGGUGAAAUGCAUAGAUAUUGCCCAGAACACCGAUUGCGAAGGCAUCUCACGAAUCCGGCACUGACGCUGAGGCACGAAAGCGUGGGGAUCAAACAGGAUUAGAUACCCUGGUAGUCCACGCAGUAAACGAUGAUAACUAACCGUCGGCGAUAGACAGUCGGUGGCCAAGCGAAAGCGAUAAGUUAUCCACCUGGGGAGUACGUUCGCAAGAAUGAAGCUCAAAUGAAUUGACGGGG